rnacentral:tRNA from 3 species
GGAGCCGUGCCUGAAGUAAAGGGCCACUUUGAUAGAGUGAAUAAUGGGGGUUAAAGUCCCCCCAGCUCCU